rnacentral:rRNA from 1 species
GCAGUAGCCGCGGUAAUACGAAGGGUGCAAGCGUUACUCGGAAUUACUGGGCGUAAAGCGUGCGUAGGUGGUGGUUUAAGUCCGUUGUGAAAGCCCUGGGCUCAACCUGGGAAUUGCAGUGGAUACUGGGUCACUAGAGUGUGGUAGAGGAUAGUGGAAUUUCCGGUGUAGCAGUGAAAUGCGUAGAGAUCGGAAGGAACAUCUGUGGCGAAGGCGACUAUCUGGGCCAACACUGACACUGAGGCACGAAAGCGUGGGGAGCAAACAGGAUUAGAUACCCGUGUAGUCCCUGUCUCUUAUAC